AAAACAGAAAACCACCCCUACCACCAGCGAAAUUGCUGUUGAGGAAGUUUUGUGUGAAGAGCAUGAAAUCCUUCUAUUGGCAAGCACUUGUUCCAAAGCUUCUGUUGCCUUCUGUUUUUACUGAAAAGUAGCAAAUAGACCUGAAGAGAGCUGGGGUCCUUGGUGGUCUUGAAAGAUGUUGACUUUACGUCUUCUCUUGCUAAGAAUGAGAUUUCUGCCAUUCUGGAUAGCAUUAUUAUUGCAAGCACAUGUGUCUGCAAUGGUUGCCAGCAUUCUUCUGCUGCUGCAGUGGGCUUAAACCAUAGCAAGGUUGAAAUCGUGGUCAGGAUCAGACGUCCCCCAUUAGACACAUAGCACCUGAAUGAACAUAGACCUAAGGUCAUAGCAAGGAUAUAAACUAGUUAUCUGACUCCCUAUCUACCCAGGCAAUAAAGAGAUAAGAAUUAAAAGAA
rnacentral:lncRNA from 1 species